rnacentral:rRNA from 1 species
UACGGGGGGGGCAAGCGUUGUUCGGAAUUACUGGGCGUAAAGGGCUCGUAGGUGGCCAACUAAGUCAGACGUGAAAUCCCUCGGCUUAACCGGGAAACUGCGUCUGAUACUGGAUGGCUUGAGUUCGGGAGAGGGAUGCGGAAUUCCAGGUGUAGCGGUGAAAUGCGUAGAUAUCUGGAGGAACACCGGUGGCGAAGGCGGCAUCCUGGACCGACACUGACACUGAGGAGCGAAAGCCAGGGGAGCAAACGGG